UCCUGGUUAGCUCAGGCGGUAGAGCAUCAGACCUUUAAUCUGAGGGUCACGGGUUCGAGUCCCAUAUCGGGCG